GACGAACGCUGGCGGCGUGCCUAAUACAUGCAAGUAGAACGCUGAAGGAGGAGCUUGCUUCUCUGGAUGAGUUGCGAACGGGUGAGUAACGCGUAGGUAACCUGCCUGGUAGCGGGGGAUAACUAUUGGAAACGAUAGCUAAUACCGCAUAAGAGUAGAUGUUGCAUGACAUUUGCUUAAAAGGUGCAAUUGCAUCACUACCAGAUGGACCUGCGUUGUAUUAGCUAGUUGGUGAGGUAACGGCUCACCAAGGCAACGAUACAUCGCCGACCUGGGAGGGGGAUCGGCCACACUGGGACUGGAACACGGCCCAGGCUCCUUCGGGAAGCAGCAAGAAGGAAUCUUUGGCAAUGGACGGAAGGCUGACCGAGCAACGCCGCGGGAGUGAAGAAGGGUUUCGGAUCGUAAAGCUCUGUUGAAAGAGAAGAACGAGUGUGAGAGUGGAAAGUUCACACUGUGACGGUAUCUUACCAGAAAGGGACGGCUAACUACGUG
rnacentral:rRNA from 1 species